rnacentral:lncRNA from 13 species
AAAAUGAAGUGGUCAACCUAUUGGUUCAGGCUCCAAAACACAACAUUAUUCUUCUACACUAAGAAACAUGGGAGUGCUUCACACCUAAGAGGCCUGUACUACAUCUACACUGUAAGUCAAACUGAUUUGAUUUGAUUUGGUCUGAACGCCUUCCUGGUCCUUCUAGCCGGACAGACAGGAACAAUUGUGUUGGACUUCGUUUUACUUUCCCUUGUGUUCAAUGAACAUUACCCACUAUUCCAUAUGCCCUAGUUACAGCUGCUUAUUAGUAUACUAUUUACAAGUAUGUAUAGCACUUUAUGUCUGAAAUAGAAGUGUUGUUGUUGGGUCAGGUGCAGUCUGUGCGUGAGAUCCAGAGGGAGAAGCGUAAGCACUACGUGUUUGAAAUCACCAUGAAGAAUGGGAAGAGGAAAGUACUGGUGAGUCACACAGACAGCUCUACUCCUACUUCAGGUGUACAUAACCGUGUGGUGUGGGCUGUGCAGGCUGCCCUGUUGUUUCAGGAUGUGGUCUGUUACUAGUGUCAUUACAGAACCGUGUGGGCGCUGAUGCCUGUGUAGGUUUAACAUGUGGUUUCAGGAUGUGGUCUGUUACUGUCACUUCAUACUCACUGAUGGGAAUUUCCCAAAUGAAAGUACCAGGUGAAGAAGCUGUCCAUUGUUCAGAAAGAUAAAUUCAACUGUAUUAAAAUAUUUUAUCAGCUGUUUACAUUUGAGUCAUUUAGCAGACACUCUUAUCCAGAGCAAUUAGGGUUAUAGGUGCUUCACACCUAGAUGUUGGACCUAGUCAUCUUGGGGAAUAGAACCAGAGACCUUUUGGUUAUUAACCCAACACUCUUAACCACUAGGCUAACUAGUACCCAGCUGUGUUCUACAGUACUUGGAUUGCUUAAAGUCAUUUAACACUUCCUCUAACAACUAAGGAUGAUCUUUUUAACUCAGACUGUAACAAUGUACUAAAUGCAUCCCUGCUACCCCCUGACCAUGUGUCUGCAGUCUGCAGAGACAGGGGAUCUGAGGAGGGAGUGGAUUGGCCAGCUGUGGAGGGCCAUGCAUCUCUCAGGCCCAGGGGGUACAGACCCAGGCUGCAUACGACAGCAGGAUGUGAGGUCUGAUGACCUGAAGGCCAGAGGUCGCUUCAGCACCUAUAACAGCUCAGAAUGUGACAGCAUGAUGGAACCACUGGGGGUUCAUCGACCCCUCUAUGCACCCCUCAACCCCUCCACCCCUGACCAAGACCUAAACCAGGGACACAGGAUUACCCAGUGCCUCUCUGGCCCCCUCACCCCUGACCAAAAUCUGGGGCACAGGGCUACCCUCUCUCUCUCCCUCACUGAUGAGCCCAGUAAUGAGGAAGCCAUAUACCAGAACACCAUCUCACAUUAUGGAGAGGAGGAUGAAGACAGUGUCCAUAGAUUUAGAAGGAGAUGUGAGGAGGAGAGAGAUGAAGAAGAGGAGGAAGAGUGUAAGGAGGAAGAGGAUCAGUAUGACAUUCUACCAGCCCCCCGGAACUCUGAGUAUCACAUCAACCAAUCAGAUGAAGACUUGACUGAUGGAGAGGACCUCUAUGACUUCCCACUGUCCAAUAGGAGGGCAAGUGACCGCCAUGAUUAUAGCGAGAUGACAGAGAGCAUCUAUGACGUCCCCAGUUCCCUAAUGAGGAAAAUGUCUGAACACACACUUGCAGAGCCUUACCCUGGAGGUGAGAUACUGGUGGAGGACAGGGGCCUCCUGGAUGACAUGAUGGCCAGUCUGGGUGGAGGGACGGUGGGCUGGAUAACAGGUGCUUCUACUGUGGAGCCCUACGGGCUGGCUCGUCAUGGCUCUUAGGACUGGUAUAUAGUAUAGACUCUGGAUAAUAUAGACUGAAUGAGUUUUCCUCAUUCAAAUUGUUCUAUAAAGCUUGACGCAUUCUGUUAGAGAUUUAAAUAUGUUUACAUUUUAUGAAAAAAAAAUCUCAUUUGUCAUGAUAUUCUAUUCUAUUGACUUCUCUUUUAAUACAAUCUACUGUCAAGGAAAUACCAUAUUAAAUAACUAACUGUAUACUGUCAAAGUGUUCCACUUAGUAUAUAAUGUCAGGAGAGAGGUACUAUAGUAUUCAGGCAGACCCUAUCCUUCUUUUUUAGAAGGUAGAUCAGAUUUAAUACUGCAGAUACAUUGUGGCAUCAUUUCCAAUCACACAUGUAUAUUUUUUGUAAAUAUAUAGAGUAUAUAUUAUUUUAAAUAUAUAUACAUUUUAAAUAUAUUUAGCUUCUUUAUUAUGUUCCCCUCACCCUACCACCCCUCCCUUAAUUGGAGUAAACAAAUGAAAUAGAUUUGACUUCUUUAUUAUGUUCCCCUAACCCAACAAUACUUAGGCUUCCACUUCCAGGUUAUACAUACUACAUACAUUUAAUAGAAAAUAUAUUUUACAUUAGUUAUCUUCUGUUUGUUUUUAGUCCCAGCCUUCAGCUACCAUCAACCCCUCCCAUCUACAGUGAGGGGGAAAAAGUAUUUGAUCCCCUGCUGAUUUUGUACGUUUGCCCACUGACAAAGAAAUGACCAGUCUAUGUUUUGCAGAGGGGUCAAAUACUUAUUUCCCUCAUUAAAAUGCAAAUCAAUUUAUAACAUUUUUGACAUGCAUUUUUGUGGAUUUUUUUGUUGUUAUUCUGUCACUCCCUGUUCAAAUAAACCUACCAUUAAAAUUAUAGACUGAUAAUUUCUUUGUCAGUGGGCAAACGUACAAAAUCAGCAGGGGAGCAAAAACUUUUUUCCCUCACUGUAUCUUUGAAGACCAUCCAAUUUAGAUUUUUUGAUUUCACCUUUAUUUAACCAGGUAGGCUAGUUGAGAACAAGUUCUCAUUUGCAGCUGUGAUCUGGCCAAGAUAAAGCAAAGCAGUUUGACACAUACAACAACACAGAGUUACGCAUGGAAUAAACAAACAUACAAUCAAUAAUACAGUAAUACAAUACAUUUCUGGNNNNNNNNNNGCAGUCUGCAGAGACAGGGGAUCUGAGGAGGGAGUGGAUUGGCCAGCUGUGGAGGGCCAUGCAUCUCUCAGGCCCAGGGGGUACAGACCCAGGCUGCAUACGGUAACAGAAAGCUCAGGAUUAUUGAGACACUACUGCACUGUUUGUCAUUACAUUACACUAGUAAUUUAUCAGGAGCUCAUA